ACGGAGGGGGCAAGCGUUAUUCGGAAUUACUGGGCGUAAAGCGCGCGCAGGUGGUGCGAUAAGUGGCAGGUGAAAUCCCUCGGCUUAACCGGGGAACGGCCUGCCAAACUGUCGCGCUUGAGGCUGGGAGGGGAGAGCGGAAUUCCUGGUGUAGCGGUGAAAUGCGUAGAUACCAGGAGGAACACCGGUGGCGAAGGCGGCUCUCUGGACCAGUUCUGACACUCAUGCGCGAAAGCGUGGGUAGCAAACAG
rnacentral:rRNA from 1 species